rnacentral:rRNA from 1 species
UACAGAGGUCCCGAGCGUUGUUCGGAAUCACUGGGCGUAAAGGGUGCGUAGGCGGGGCUUUAAGUCAGGGGUGAAAUCCUGGAGCUCAACUCCAGAACUGCCUUUGAUACUGAAGAUCUUGAGUUCGGGAGAGGUGAGUGGAACUGCGAGUGUAGAGGUGAAAUUCGUAGAUAUUCGCAAGAACACCAGUGGCGAAGGCGGCUCACUGGCCCGAUACUGACGCUGAGGCACGAAAGCGUGGGGAGCAAACAGG